UAAACAGAGAUGACUAGACAAA
rnacentral:snRNA from 1 species